AGUUUGCGCCCGGGGCGAGGAUGAUCUAGGGUUUAUCGUGGAGCUGGGGAUGUAAACCAGCAUAAGAUUAUGAAUAUGGGAAUGAAGCUAGUCAUAGAGGCCGAAAUUUAGUACUCGACGGUGUUCACGUGGGGGCCUCUAAAAACUUCCGCUAUAGAUAUUCUGAAUCCCAAUUUUUAUCCAAUUUUCUGAAUUUUAGUGAUAUUGAAGAGUCGUGGGCGAUGAUUUUAUAUUUAUCCGCGCUUCCGAGGUUUAACGAUGAAGCAAACUUAAAAUUAAUGGUUGAAUUUCUUAAUAUGAGCCAUCUUCUUCUA